UCACUUCAGCAGUACAUACACUAAAAUUAAAACAAUACAGAGAUUAGCAUGGCCCAUGUGCAAGGAUGACAUGCAAAUUCGUGAAGUGUUCCAUAUUUUU
rnacentral:snRNA from 2 species